ensembl:lncRNA
AGAACCUUGCCCAGCUGAGCCCAGGGAAGUUGUGUCUUAGCCUAACCAUUUCAUUCCAUUUCUCUGACUUUGCAAUUACCAGAAGUAUGAACUUCGUUUGGAACGACAUUUGUCCAAGGUUAUGAUAACAAACAACUGUCUCUCCAGUGAUGCAUUUGUUCCGUGCACCCAGCUCAAGGCCCUUCUCCUGCUUUUCUCUCAAGUCUCACUCGUCCUCCAUCAUCUGGGCCAGAAAGUUCCUGCUUCAGAGCUGAAGGAGUCAGACCUGCCUCACAGCCUGAAGGCUCCCCUUCAUCCUAACAAACAACUAGAGAAGACAACAACUUCCACUUGCUUUCACAGGCACAAAGAAACCCCAGAAGAUUGGUCACCUCUCUGAGGAGAAAUGGGGCAUCAGGGUGAAGGGCUGGGAGGGAGACUUUUCACCGUGCACACAAUCUACACACACACACAGUGGACGCGACCCCAGUGCCUACUGAGAAACGUC